rnacentral:rRNA from 1 species
GAUGAACGCUGGCGGCGUGCCUAAUACAUGCAAGUCGAGCGAACAGACGAGGAGCUUGCUCCUCUGACGUUAGCGGCGGACGGGUGAGUAACACGUGGAUAACCUACCUAUAAGACUGGGAUAACUUCGGGAAACCGGAGCUAAUACCGGAUAAUAUAUUGAACCGCAUGGUUCAAUAGUGAAAGACGGUUUUGCUGUCACUUAUAGAUGGAUCCGCGCCGCAUUAGCUAGUUGGUAAGGUAACGGCUUACCAAGGCAACGAUGCGUAGCCGACCUUAGAGGGUGAUCGGCCACACUGGAACUGAGACCCGGUCCAGACUCCUACGGGAGGCAGCAGUAGGGAAUCUUCCGCAAUGGGCGAAAGCCUGACGGAGCAAAGCCGCGUGAGUGAUGAAGGUCUUCGGAUCGUAAAACUCUUUUAUUAGGGAAGAACAAAUGUGUAAGUAACUAUGCACGUCUUGACGGUACCUAAUCAGAAAGCCACGGCUAACUACGUG